ACGGGUGAGUAACGCGUGGGAACGUACCUUUUGGUUCGGAACAACUGAGGGAAACUUCAGCUAAUACCGGAUAAGCCCUUACGGGGAAAGAUUUAUCGCCGAAAGAUCGGCCCGCGUCUGAUUAGCUAGUUGGUGAGGUAACGGCUCACCAAGGCGACGAUCAGUAGCUGGUCUGAGAGGAUGAUCAGCCACAUUGGGACUGAGACACGGCCCAAACUCCUACGGGAGGCAGCAGUGGGGAAUAUUGGACAAUGGGCGCAAGCCUGAUCCAGCCAUGCCGCGUGAGUGAUGAAGGCCCUAGGGUUGUAAAGCUCUUUUGUGCGGGAAGAUAAUGACGGUACCGCAAGAAUAAGCCCCGGCUAACUUCGUGCCAGCAGCCGCGAUAAUACGAAGGGGGCUAGCGUUGCUCGGAAUCACUGGGCGUAAAGGGUGCGUAGGCGGGUCUUUAAGUCAGGGGUGAAAUCCUGGAGCUCAACUCCAGAACUGCCUUUGAUACUGAGGAUCUUGAGUUCGGGAGAGGUGAGUGGAACUGCGAGUGUAGAGGUGAAAUUCGUAGA
rnacentral:rRNA from 1 species